rnacentral:rRNA from 1 species
UACAGAGAGUGCAAGCGUUAAUCGGAAUUACUGGGCGUAAAGCGCACGCAGGUGGAUGUGUAAGUCGGAUGUGAAAGCCCUGGGCUUAACCUAGGAAUUGCAUCCGAUACUACUCAUCUAGAGUAUGGUAGAGGGAAGUGGAAUUUCCGGUGUAGCGGUGAAAUGCGUAGAUAUCGGAAGGAACACCAGUGGCGAAGGCGGCUUCCUGGACCAAUACUGACACUCAGGUGCGAAAGCGUGGGGAGCAAACAGG